rnacentral:rRNA from 1 species
GACGAACGCUGGCGGCGUGCUUAACACAUGCAAGUCGAACGGUGAAAGCGGAGCUUGCUCCGCUGGAUCAGUGGCGAACGGGUGAGUAACACGUGGGCAACCUGCCCCUCACUUCGGGAUAACCCCGGAAAACCGGGGCUAAUACCGGAUACGACCUCCUUGGGCAUCCUGGGAGGUGGAAAGUUUUUCGGUGAGGGAUGGGCCCGCGGCCUAUCAGCUUGUUGGUGAGGUAGUGGCUCACCAAGGCGACGACGGGUAGCCGGCCUGAGAGGAUGACCAGCCAGACUGGGACUGAGACACGGCCCAGACUCCUACGGGAGGCAGCAGUAGGGAAUUUUCCACAAUGGACGAAAGUCUGAUGGAGCAACGCCGCGUGCAGGAUGAAUGCCCUUGGGUUGUAAACUGCUUUUAUAUGCGAAGAUAAUGACGGUAGCAUAUGAAUAAGGAUCGGCUAACUCCGUGCCAGCAGCCGCAGUAA